CCUACGGGAGGCAGCAGUGAGGAAUAUUGGUCAAUGGACGCAAGUCUGAACCAGCCAUGCCGCGUGCAGGAAGACGGCUCUAUGAGUUGUAAACUGCUUUUGUACGAGGGUAAACGCAGAUACGCGUAUCUGUCUGAAAGUACUGUACGCAUAAGGAUCGGCUAACUCCGUGCCAGCAGCCGCGGGAAUUCGGAGGAUUCUAGCGUUAUCCGGAUUUUAUGGGGUUAAAGGGUGCGUAGGCUGUCGGAUAAGUUAGAGGUGAAAUCCCGAGGCUCAACUUCGGAAAUGCCUCUGAUACUGUUCGGCUAGAGAGUAGUUGCGGUAGGCGGAAUGUAUGGUGUAGCGGUGAAAUGCUUAGAGAUCAUACAGAACACCGAUUGCGAAGGCAGCUUACCAAGCUACUUCUGACGUUGAGGCACGAAAGCGUGGGGAGCAAACAGGAUUAGAUACCCCAGUAGUC
rnacentral:rRNA from 1 species